rnacentral:rRNA from 1 species
UACAGAGGUCUCAAGCGUUGUUCGGAAUCAUUGGGCGUAAAGAGCGUGUAGGCGGUCCGGUAAGUCCGCUGUGAAAGUCGGGGGCUCAACCCUCGAAUGCCGGUGGAUACUGUCGGGCUAGAGUGCGGAAGAGGCGAGUGGAAUUCCUGGUGUAGCGGUGAAAUGCGCAGAUAUCAGGAGGAACACCAAUUGCGAAGGCAGCUCGCUGGGACGUAACUGACGCUGAGACGCGAAAGCGUGGGGAGCAAACAGG